CGCACGGGACCGGGAGCAUCCCCAGUGGGUGGGUCUGACUUAUUUCCUCAGACACCAGAAGGAGGAAGCCGGUGUUUCCUGUUGUCUCACUCUUGUUCUCUCGCAGGCCCUUGAGGGCCCACCGGGCCUUCUCCAAGGCCAAAAGCCCACAGCCACCCUGACACCCUCGCUGCAUGCCACAGCUGUGUCCGGAGGCUCGCUCUCACAAGCCCACCUGCUCUGCGCACCAUGGAUGGACCGUUUCCACCCAGCUUCGCCCAGGGUCCCUGCUGCACUGGGAUCACCAGAGGAGAGAGGCUAUUUAUUCAUAAGACAGACCCCUGGGUCUCAGCCCAGACUCCGUGAAUCAGAAUCUCCAGACCUAGAGCCUCAACUCGGUGCUAUUUUUUUUAAAAAAAUUUUUUGUUUAUUUAUUUUUGAGAGAGAGAGAGAGAGAGAACUCAAGCAGGGGAGGGGUGGAGGUGGGGGGGACAGAGGAUCCGAAGCGGGCUCUGUGCUGACAACAGAGAGCCCAAUGGGGGGCUUGAACCCACGGACUGUGAGAUCAUGACCUGAGCUGAAGUCGGAGGCCUGACCCCUUCUGAGCCACCCAGGCGCCCCUCAACUCUGUGUUUUUAAAGCCCCCCCCCCACCCCACCCCACCCCAGGAAUUCUGUUGCACAGCCCAGGGUGGGGACCACUGAGCCAGGCUGACCCAUCUAUUCCAGAGGUGGAAGCAGGCCCCGGAAAGGUAAGGUGUCUUGCCAAGGCCACUCGGCGUUUAGUGGCCUGGUGGCUGGCUGCCUUCCUCCCCACAUAAGGUGAAUCCCCAGACAAGACCCCUCGUGUGGUCACGUGAUACAGAUCCCUGUUGGUGACCAUCAGGAACACGGGUGCCAUCUUGAAGUCCUUGAUCCUUCAUGGGGCAAACGCAUUCUACCUCUCUUUGCCUCCUGCGGCUGCCCUGAGGUUUCUCGUCACGUUUAAGGUUGCCCUUUUAAUUUGGGAUCCAGGGGAAAUAACGCGCGUUGGUCUCCAGCCUAGGCCGAAGAAAUACUGCACGUGGUCCAACCCGGUUUAACACUGGCUGGGAUUUAGGGCCGAGGUCUUGGCGGGGCAGGGGGCAUAAAUUACAAGCUUGCUUUCCUCCUCCAACCUCUGAACUAGUCGAGAGAUGAAAAAGGAGGGAUAAGGCGUACGGAUGCCAAACCACCAUGUCUGUUACAGACAAAGCAGAUAUUGGAGAAUGUGGCUUAUUCCGGAAGCAAGGAGUUCCCAGCCACGGUCAGCCUCCGGACUGGGAGACUGGCAGAUGGGUCUCCCCUAAGACUUGGAACACGGACGAGCGGAGCCCAGCCUGCACUGUCUCAGGGGGAGGCGUCACGGAAGGGUGGAGAGGGACCAGGGCAUCGCACUCAUGCCACAUGGAGGACCAGUUCUUCCCACACUUGGAAGGAAACACGAAGAGAGGGAAUUAACACGGCGACCUCACAGAAGUCAUACCCUCCGUCCCUUCCUUGCCUCUAUCCCCGCACGUUUCCCCAGGAGAUCCGUGGGGCCGUCCGACGUCGUGUCCAGACUCUUGCGCCUGCCUCAGCGAGCACUCAGCUCGGCUCUCUCCUGAGCAACCUCGGAUGAUGAUUCACUGCCCUCCCGCCUCUCCCGGCCCCUUGCGGUGGGGCGUCCAGGGGUCACCGCUGUCCCCUGUCCAGUGUCCUCUGGAUGUGUAAAGUAAACCGCUUUGUGAUGACAGAUGGUUCUGGAGUGGAAAAUAAAAGCAAGAAAAGAAUGAUGA